CUCGCGAGAUGAUAAGACAGCUACCGGCGCUGCUUCGUGACGAGUCCACAGAGCUAUGAAAGAGCCAACCAAAAGUACCUCCACUUGGCGUUAAAACGCCGCCACUGCAAUUUACGGUUUGUGGGCCAUCGGAGACACUUCACCGUCGCAUGAUAAGCUUGCUCACAGGUCGUCCAGCAGUGCUUUUAAUGUGUGCUCAAGACAGCAAAUCAACCAACUGCUCAAGUGCGCUCGUCACUGUUGCGAAUGUCGUCUGAACUUGACAAACCAGUAAACACUGACGACGUCGAGGCCCCAGAAGACAGCCGGAGACUGCGUUAUGUCAGCGGGGACCUGUUCUCCUGCCCCGGGGACCAGGCUUUGGCCCACUGCAUCAGCGAGGACUGCCGCAUGGGGGCAGGCAUAGCGGUGAUGUUCAAGGAGCGGUUCAAAGGGGUAGAGGAGUUAAAGGAACAGAAAAAGCUGACGGGAAAUUGCGCCGUGUUAAAACGAGACGGACGUUUUGUCUACUAUCUGAUAACAAAGAAAAAGGCCAGCCAAAAGCCCACCUAUGACAGCUUGACACACAGCCUUGAGGAUAUGAAGUCCCACUGUCUGGCGAACGGAGUAACAAGAAUAUCAAUGCCUCGUAUUGGUUGUGGCCUGGAUCGACUGCAGUGGAGUAGAGUGUCAGAGAUACUGGAACAGGUCUUCAAAACCACAAACGUCUCCAUCACCGUCUACAGCCUCCCCGAGAAAGCCGAGACCACAGCGAUGAAGGAAAACAGGCGCAGAUGAUUGAUGGGGGGGGGAGAAAAAAAGAUCAUUGUAAUUACAAAAAGAACGAGGAAGCACGCUGAUCUAAAUCUGUCCCUAACUUCAGUGUGUCGGAGCCAGUGGAGAAGGGGGAGAGCUCGGUGACAAGAGGAGAGCGACCUGCACAGAAGAGCUUCUGAUUGACAACAUUCUCACUGUGAUUACCGGCUUCUUUU